UACAGAGGGGGCAAGCGUUGUUCGGAAUUACUGGGCGUAAAGGGCGCGUAGGCGGCCUUCUAAGUCGAACGUGAAAUCCCCGGGCUCAACCCGGGAACUGCGUCCGAGACUGGAAGGCUUGAAUCCGGGAGAGGGAUGUGGAAUUCCAGGUGUAGCGGUGAAAUGCGUAGAUAUCUGGAGGAAUACCGGUGGCGAAGGCGGCAUCCUGGACCAUUACUGACGCUGAGGAGCGAAAGCGUGGGGAGCGAACAGG
rnacentral:rRNA from 1 species